rnacentral:rRNA from 1 species
UCCUACGGGAGGCAGCAGUGGGGAAUCUUAGACAAUGGGCGCAAGCCUGAUCUAGCCAUGCCGCGUGAGUGAUGAAGGCCUUAGGGUCGUAAAGCUCUUUCGCCAGAGAUGAUAAUGACAGNNNCUGGUAAAGAAACCCCGGCUAACUCCGUGCCAGCARCCGCGGUAAUACGGAGGGGGUUAGCGUUGUUCGGAAUUACUGGGCGUAAAGCGCGCGUAGGCGGACUAGUCAGUCAGAGGUGAAAUCCCAGGGCUCAACCCUGGAACUGCCUUUGAUACUGCUAGUCUUGAGUUCGAGAGAGGUGAGUGGAAUUCCGAGUGUAGAGGUGAAAUUCGUAGAUAUUCGGAGGAACACCAGUGGCGAAGGCGGCUCACUGGCUCGAUACUGACGCUGAGGUGCGAAAGCGUGGGGAGCAAACAGGAUUAGAUACCC